rnacentral:rRNA from 1 species
UCCAGACUCCUACGGGAGGCAGCAGUGAGGAAUAUUGGUCAAUGGGCGCGAGCCUGAACCAGCCAAGUCGCGUGAGGGAAGACGGUCCUAUGGAUUGUAAACCUCUUUUGUCGGGGAGCAAAAGACGCCACGCGUGGCGUUCCGAGAGUACCCGGAGAAAAAGCAUCGGCUAACUCCGUGCCAGCAGCCGCGGUAAUACGGAGGAUGCGAGCGUUAUCCGGAUUUAUUGGGUUUAAAGGGUGCGCAGGCGGGCUGUUAAGCCGGCGGUAAAAAUUCAGGGCUCAACCCUGUCGAGCCGUCGGAACUGGCGGGCUGGAGUUGGAGAGAAGUACGCGGAAUGCGCGGUGUAGCGGUGAAAUGCUUAGAUAUCGCGCAGAACCCCGAUUGCGAAGGCAGCGUACCGGCUCCACACUGACGCUGAGGCACGAAAGCGUGGGUAUCGAACAGGAUUAGAUACCCCCGUA